rnacentral:rRNA from 1 species
CACGUAGGGAGCAAGCGUUGUCCGGAUUUAUUGGGCGUAAAGAGCUCGUAGGUGGUUCGGUAAGUCGGGUGUGAAAACUCUGGGCUCAACUCAGAGACGCCACCGGAUACUGCUGUGACUUGAGUCUGGUAGGGGAGUGUGGAAUUCCCAGUGUAGCGGUGAAAUGCGCAGAUAUUGGGAGGAACACCAGUGGCGAAGGCGGCACUCUGGGCCAGUACUGACACUGAGGAGCGAAAGCGUGGGUAGCGAACAGG